rnacentral:ncRNA from 17 species
UUGAAUAGAGUGAGGACAGGUGUCUGUCUAUCAGACUUAAUAGAGAAUCCGGUAUAAGCCGGAGCGGUCCCGCCACUGUAAUGGGGAGCGAGGUACAAUUAUGUCACUGGAUUACGGGUAAUGUAAUCUGGGAAGGCGUACCAAGCAUUGAUCCAGAGCCAGGAGAACUGCCUGUUUUAUCAUUUCCGUU